CCUCUGUGUAUCCUCAGCUUUGAGAACUGAAUUCCAUGGGUCGUCUCAGUGUCAGACCUGUGGAGUUCAGUUCUUCAGCUGGGAUAUCUCUGUCAUCAU
ensembl:miRNA